GUGGGAAGCAGGGAGGACCACCUCCCAAGGCUAAAUACUAACUGGUGACCGAUAGCGAAUAGUACCGUGAGGGAAAGGCGAAAAGAACCCCAGAAGGGGAGUGAAAUAGAACCUGAAACCGUGUGCUUACAAGCAGUCGGAGCUCGUUAAGGAGUGACGGCGUGCUUUUUGUAGAACGAGCCAGCGAGUUACGGUAUGCAGCGAGGUUAAGCACUUAAGGUGCGAAGCCGGAGGGAAACCGAGUCUGAAAAGGGCGCUAAGUUGUAUGCUGUAGACCCGAAACCGGGUGACCUAUCCAUGGACAGGAUGAAGUUGAGGUAAAACUCAAUGGAGGUCCGAACUAAAUUGGUGUUGAAAAACCAUGAGAUGAUCUGUGGAUAGCGGAGAAAUUCCAAUCGAACUCGGAGAUAGCUGGUUCUCCCCGAAAUAGCUUUAGGGCUAGCCUUGGAUGAUGAGCUUUGGAGGUAGAGCACUGAAUGGACUAGGGGCUGUAUAAGCUACCAAACCCUAUCAAACUCCGAAUGCCAAAGUUUUAAUCCAGGAGUCAGACUACGAGUGAUAAGAUCCGUGGUCAAAAGGGAAACAGCCCAGACCAUCAGCUAAGGUCCCAAAAUGCAGAUUAAGUGGUAAAGGAGGUGAGAUCUCAAAGACAACCAGGAUGUUGGCUUAGAAGCAGCCAUACAUUCAAAGAGUGCGUAAUAGCUCACUGGUCGAGAGGUCUUGCACCGAAGAUGUCCGGGGCUCAAAUCUGCUACCGAAGCUAUGGAUGUACGAAAGUACGUGGUAGGGGAGCAUCGUAUACGGAGCGAAGCCAUAUCGUAAGGAGUGGUGGACUGUAUACGAGAGAGAAUGCUGGCAUAAGUAACGAAAGAUAGGUGAGAAUCCUAUCCAUCGAAAACCUAAGGUUUCCUGAGGAAGGUUCGUCCACUCAGGGUUAGUCGGGACCUAAGUCGAGGCCGAAAGGCGUAGAUGAUGGACAAUCGGUUGAAAUUCCGAUACCACCUUUAAGCGUUUAAGAAAAGGGGUGACGCAGGAGGAUAAGCUGAGCGCACGGAUGGAAAAGUGCGUCUAAGAACUAAGUCAGACCUUCAAGGAAAAUCCGGGAGGUGACGAUAAGGUUUAAUGGGGAGCCGCAAGGCGAAGCAGCUGAAUUCACACUGCCAAGAAAAGCCUCUAUCGAGCAAGAAGGUGCCCGUACCGCAAACCGACACAGGUAGGUGAGGAGAGAAUCCUAAGAUGAGCGAGAGAACCCUUGUUAAGGAACUCGGCAAAUUAACCCCGUAACUUCGGGAGAAGGGGUACUCAAAAGAGUCGCAGUUAAAAGGCCCAAGCAACUGUUUAGCAAAAACACAGGUCUCUGCUAAGUCGCAAGACGAUGUAUAGGGGCUGACGCCUGCCCGGUGCUGGAAGGUUAAGGGGAGAGGUUAGCGAAAGCGAAGCUUUAAACUUAAGCCCCAGUAAACGGCGGCCGUAACUAUAACGGUCCUAAGGUAGCGAAAUUCCUUGUCGGGUAAGUUCCGACCCGCACGAAUGGCGUAAUGACUUGGGCACUGUCUCAACAAGGGACUCGGUGAAAUUGUAGUACCGGUGAAGAUGCCGGUUACCCGCGAUUAGACGGAAAGACCCCGUAGAGCUUUACUGUAGCUUAUCAUUGAGUUUCGGUAUUGUCUGUACAGGAUAGGUGGGAGGCUUAGAAGUAGGGGCGUCAGCUUCUAUGGAGCCAACGUUGGGAUACCACCCUGACAGUACUGAAACUCUAACCGGAGGCUUUGAAACAAGUCACGGGACAUUGUUAGGUGGGCAGUUUGACUGGGGCGGUCGCCUCCUAAAAAGUAACGGAGGCGCCCAAAGGUUCCCUCAGCGCGGUUGGAAAUCGCGCGCAGAGUGCAAAGGCAGAAGGGAGCCUGACUGCGAGACAAACAAGUCGAGCAGAGACGAAAGUCGGGCUUAGUGAUCCGGUGGUUCCGAGUGGAAGGGCCAUCGCUCAACGGAUAAAAGCUACCUCGGGGAUAACAGGCUGAUCUCCCCCAAGAGUCCACAUCGACGGGGAGGUUUGGCACCUCGAUGUCGGCUCG
rnacentral:rRNA from 1 species